AUUGAACGCUGGCGGCAGGCUUAACACAUGCAAGUCGAGCGGGGUGAUGGUGCUUGCACUAUCACUUAGCGGCGGACGGGUGAGUAAUGCUUAGGAAUCUGCCUAUUAGUUGGGGACAACAUCUCGAAAGGGAUGCUAAUACCGCAUACGUCCUACGGGAGAAAGCAGGGGAUCACUUGUGACCUUGCGCUAAUAGAUCAUCCUAAGUCGGAUUAGCCAGUUGGUGGGGUAAAGGCCUACCAAGGGGACGACCUGUAGCGGGUCUGAGAGGAUGAUCCGCCACACUGGGACUGAGACACGGCCCAGACUCCUACGGGAGGCAGCAGUGGGGAAUAUUGGACAAUGGGGGGAACCCUGAUCCAGCCAUGCCGCGUGUGUGAAGAAGGCCUUAUGGUUGUAAAGCACUUUAAGCGAGGAGGAGGCUCUUUUGGUUAAUACCCAAGAUGAGUGGACGUUACUCGCAGAAUAAGCACCGGCUAACUCUGUGCCAGCCGCCGCCGUAA
rnacentral:rRNA from 1 species